rnacentral:rRNA from 1 species
UACGUAGGGGGCGAGCGUUGUCCGGAUUUAUUGGGCGUAAAGAGCUCGUAGGCGGUUGGGCAAGUCACGUGUGAAAUCUCCACGCUCAACGUGGAGGCGCCACGUGAGACUGCCCUGACUGGAGUCCGGUAGGGGAGCGUGGAAUUCCCGGUGUAGCGGUGAAAUGCGCAGAGAUCGGGAGGAACACCCGUAGCGAAGGCGGCGCUCUGGGCCGGUACUGACGCUGAGGUGCGAAAGCGUGGGGAGCAAACAGG